CCUCAUCCACCAAAUCUCCUAGGAAAGAAAGAGUUGUAGUGCUGAAACUCCACAGAAACAGCAAGUCCAGGCAGUGGAAGCAUUCUGGUUACAAAUGAAACAUCCACAUGGAACAGGAGUGCAGUCAGCGUCAAAGGCUGGAGUGUUAAAGGGAGCCUAGAAAACAAGAGGUGCAAAGAAAGGACUUGAUCCAUUCCGUUUCGCAUCCUGGUUUGCAAUUGUCUUCCCAGCAACAGCUCUUCACUUCAGCAAGCAGCAGUUGCUUCCACAUUCCAGUUUCUUUCAGCAGUCUCAGAACCAGCCCCCACUAGGUUUCAGUGUCAGCUGAAAGGGAGGCUGUACUCAGAGGUCUGAGUUACAGCUCCUCCUCUGAGCUCUCAGGUGCCAGUCCAAUGGAUGCACUCUCUCUUGCAAGGUAUAGUUCCUAGAUUAUCAGGGACCCCUCCUCUAGGCUUCUAGGUUCUUAUCAUCCUAAUAUCUUUAUGUUGGCUCCUGGUCAUAAUGGUGGUAGCUGUUUCCUAGAGUUAUUCUCUCUGUGUUAACUUGGUGUUUCAGGGUAGCUUUUUAGUCCUCCAAUGCCUGUUCAACCAGUUCCCUACCUUAAAUUCUCUCUGAAA